GCUCCGUUCAAGUGCCGCGAAGCCCCGCCCCUCUCUGGGCAUCCUGCCCGCGGCUGCCAUGUUAAGCCAGGGCGGAAGUCCACCGAGUAAGGGAGGCGUCUUCCUAGAGAGGCGCAGGACGAGAAGGGUCGGGCGGCGCCUUUCCCUGUGUGCUCACUUCCGGAGGAGAGAGCGAGCGAGCGCGGGAGACGCUGGAUGAAGAAAGCGGCGGAGGAGGCGAUUCUGAACCACUCUCCACUUUAGAACCCUUUUCCAGUCAAAAUCCAUCAGAGGCCCUAGAUCUCCUUCCCGUACCUUUUCUAACAACUUCAACCCUAUUUCCUCACUUACUAAUCCAUUGUAUACUUUCCCCAUUAAUCCUUUCCCAGAUAUUUCUUGCUUUUCAAGUUUACUUAGCCAUUUUUCAUAUUUGUUUAACUCUUGACAUAUGGGAUUUUUUACCUAACCAGUCGUUCUUCCAUUUAUAUAGCUGCUGCCUACUCCCUGCCUCUGCAAACAUCUCUAAGCAGUUUUGGUACUUGGUCAAUGGACUGAGUAAUUCUAGUCCAACAUUCACCCCAUCACUCUCUCCAUCAAACUGAUACAGUCAUUUG
rnacentral:lncRNA from 11 species